CCUACGGGUGGCUGCAGUGGGGAAUCUUGCGCAAUGGGCGAAAGCCUGACGCAGCGACGCCGCGUGGAGGAUGAGGCCCUUCGGGGUGUAAACUCCUGUUGCCCGGGACGAAAGCCCCGCAUCGGCGGGGUUGACGGUACCGGGUGAGGAAGCACCGGCUAACUCUGUGCCAGCAGCCGCGGUAAUACAGAGGGUGCGAGCGUUGUCCGGAAUUACUGGGCGUAAAGGGCGCGUAGGCGGCCCCAUAACGCGUGCCGUGAAAGCCCGGGGCUCAA
rnacentral:rRNA from 1 species